CAACAAGCCUACAUGCCACACUGCUCUCUACUUCAUUUACUUUCACUGUACAUUGUACUGUGACUGUAGGCCAACUCUGAACUGAAGUGCAAAUACUGACAUGACUGACUUUAUCAUACUGCAGAUGCUUCAAACCCUCUCCGCAAUUGCAACUGAAGAAUCUUGUAUGAUUUGCAAGGAUGACACAAACUCGUCCGCAAAUGCAUUCGAAGAUUCUCGUUUGAUUUCUAAGAAGAAGGCUUUCAGUUGUCCAGGCCAGGCCAGGUGAUCAAUGACGAUGAUAGAUCGGGUUCGAUUCAAGCUAUACGCUUGGUGUAUUUGGUUAUCGUGACUGGCGACUGAGUCUAACUCACGUCCAAAGCGCGGUGGCUGGGUCCCAGGCAUGCUUGCCUCUUUGUUCCACGGUCCUCAUCUAAGUUUCGACGGUGAUGACAUGGACUUAGGUUCAAGGAACGUGAUCCCCUUGAGUCAUUGUGGUUGAUUGAUGGGGGCAAUAGACGGUUGCGUGUCGCUAGUCAUUCAAUUGGUCCCCUUGUUUUAGAGUGUUGGCGGGAUAAGUCGUACGAAUGUUAACAAUAGUAUGCAAUAGCUGGCCAGCGAUCCCCUACCUGAUCUCGAGGGGGAUGGAAUGACUGGGGUUAGAGGCCUGUUGUUAACCUGCGGAAUUUCGUCGGACGAAAUGUCAGGCGUGUCCGUGUGGGACUUGUGCUAAACCAGUUUAGUACAUAUGACGAAGACAUUGGGCUCUUUGAAUAACAACAGUGUCCUUGACCUCCUUGUGCCUCACAAAGCUAAUAAUAUACACCCCCUGAAAUCGACAAGACGGCGAUGAAGAAGGAGAGCCGGCCUCCAGCUUGUCAGCCGAGAAGACACUGGAUGGACCCCAAGGAUAUGUUGCUGCCAAUGUUGGAGCCAUACAGGGCAGCCCGAGCCAACAUUGUACAAGUGCCACAAGGACAAGUGCCACAAGGACAAGGGACACAAGGACAAGGGACACAAGGACAAGGGACACAAAAGACGAUGUUGCAGUCUACAGGGCUAUGCAGAUGACUGGAGAUGAUGGCUGUUGAGUUGACCCAAUGAAUUCCACCACGAUCUACGAUGUGUACUGAAGCAAGAACGACUCUCAAAGACCCAGAAAGCAACAGAUGCCAACACUUCGCCCCAUGAUAAGAUGCCUUCAUACCCAUCCAUCGACAAUUUGGCCUGGGGAAGACAGCCUUAUUGACCUUCAUGGGGAUCUUCCUGGCAGAUGUUGUAUGAGGAAGGAUUCAAAGCGUAUACACCAUGCUUGGAUGAGGGCCUGAGAGUCGUGUAGAUUCAAUGCAUGGAAUCGUCUCGCUCGGGGAUAUCGGCGGUGGACACUUACAUCGUGUGUCAUUCGAAUAGACUUUAAUGACAAUCGAAAUGAUGCUCUAAGGGGACUCUGAUGACUCUAAGGACAUAGAGCCCUUCUCGUUAUGUAAUGUGACGCCAUAUCCAGCAGCCACCAUGGAGCCAGCUCAUACAUCUCUUACAUAUGGAAGGAUGCCAUCUCAUACGGAGAUGAGCCAUCCCACAGAAGGGAGGAGGAUGUUGCUGAGCCAGCGCAUCUCUACCAUGCUCCCGUCGCCGUCAAGGAGCUUGGAUUUUUGUCACCGUAGGCCUUACCCUUUUAUUGCAAUAUCUGGUUGAAAGGUGAUUUGAUAAAAAUCCUGAUAUUUUAUUUUCCGAUUGCUAGAGGGCAAUUUUUUGCCUUCUUUCGGCCAAUGACAAACUCUUACCAUGGCUCAAAACCGUACACAUUCAAAGACGAGUUUAAAAAUGGGGGGAGAGUGUAAUAAGGUAACCAGGGCAUGUCACAAGCCCAGAAAUUAUUUUCAAGCAAGAUUAAUGAGAAAAAUCAAAAUGUGGAGGGGAUGUUCUGGCUAACAGGACAGCCAACAGAGUAAGUUGGUACCCAAACAAAACAUUCGCAAUAGCCUUGGGUACAGUGGGACCUUACCAGCUGCUUCAGAUUUGUUUCAAGCAAAAAAGAUCUUUCUGCUUAAAAAAUCACCGAAUUCAUCAGAUAUUGUAUUUGAUUAUGUCCAUCACAUGAGACAUGGGGUUCACAUGACAUUCGCUUUGCUCUAACCCCAGGCAAAGCGAAUGAACAUGUGUGUCUUGAUGGAACUGUAGGCCUUUUUACUGUUUCUUGAUCUCCUCAGUACCACAGAAUCCACCGGCAUUUAAACACCACCUGGGCCCAGGCGCCAAAGAUCCUUCGUAUCAUUGGCUGGCUCAGUUGCUCAGUGUCUUUACCUUCAUACUUGAGACAACUGACCAACAACACAAAUCUAGUAAACUUUCAUUUCCUUGUCACUUUUUAAUCAAUACCCGUGAACAAAAAAAUCACGGGAUGCAAAACAUCUCUUCACCAAUAAAACUGAUAAUUAUUUGAUUAGCUUUGUCAAUAAAACUAUUGUUUUAUUGAAACUCAUCAGAAUAAGACUGGUUCUUGAUCCUACCUGUAGCGGUCUGACAGGAAAGAAUCUUAGUCUUUUUCUUUGUUUCGAUUCAAGAAGGCUUUCAUUGCAAGAGCAUAAUUAUCAUGUUCUGCAGGCUAUGAAAGAUAUCAUUUUGCCCCAUCAAGAAAUUUUUUAUUGGACUUGGUACUGAAUGAUUUGAGAAAAGUGUAACGUCAAUUGUAAGACGUUUUAUGUUGUCAUUUAUGUAAUUAUAUUUGUAAUGCAUGUAAAUCUUGUAAGUAAAAUAAAAGAGAUCUAAGACUCAACUUGUGAAAAACCUGGCAGACCAACAUCCAGUCUUGCCAGGUCAAGCUACCUCUUUCGUCAUGCAAAUACAUGUCACCUCUGCCCCUUUUGUCAUGCUAAUUGGUAGCCUCUGUCCAGUUCCUGGCCAUGAGAAAUGUGGUUCUUUUGUUAUUCAAAUUGGGCCCUUAACCUGUUUAGUCAUGGAUUAAUGAGAGCAGUGACCUAACCUAUUGUUCGCUGAAAUGGCUCAACUUAAGUCAUACACAAUAGGUUUUAAUACAUGUACAAAAGCUAAAACUUGUAUAGAAUGUAUAAGAACAUGAUGAAUGCAUGCAGAGGCAGAGGUUGGAAUUGUUGAGUCAUCUAGUGUAAGAUCUCUAUUCAGCAGUGUCUUUUUUGGACAUUUUAAAGGAGGAGAACAUGUGUGAUAGUACAAUUAUCUCAAUGUCUCGUCCUUUAAUGGGCAUUGGAGCUGCACAGUGACUAUAAUGUACAUGUAUGAAGUCAUUAUGGUCGUAAGCGCUGUGCCUGUCACCUGUGUGAUGGAGUUGAUGACUCCCUCCAAUUGCGUAGGUUUUCUCCCGUUGAAACGGUUUUCCUCCUACACUGACUUUCCAAGUUGCCAUGUGAGGAUAAUUCUUGGAAUAUGCAACAAUAAAUAAUUUUCAAA